rnacentral:rRNA from 1 species
CUCGUAGGCGGUUUGUCACGUCGGGAGUGAAAACUCAGGGCUCAACCCUGAGCGUGCUUUCGAUACGGGCAGACUAGAGGUAUGCAGGGGAGAACGGAAUUCCUGGUGUAGCGGUGGAAUGCGCAGAUAUCAGGAGGAACACCGGUGGCGAAGGCGGUUCUCUGGGCAUUACCUGACGCUGAGGAGCGAAAGCAUGGGGAGCGAACA